GGAGAGAUGGCUUAGUGGUUAAGAGCGUCUGUUGCUUUUGCAGAGAACCUGAGUUCAAUUCCCAGUACCUACA
rnacentral:tRNA from 1 species